rnacentral:rRNA from 1 species
GAUUAACGCUGGCGGCGUGCAUAACACAUGCAAGUCGAACGAUGAAACUUUAAUGAACCCUUCGGGGAGAAUUAAAGCGGAUUAGUGGCGAACGGGUGAGUAACGCGUGAGUAACCUGCCUUACACAAGGGGAUAGCCUUUGGAAACGAAGAAUAAUACCCUAUAAAACCAUAAAAGCACAUGCAAUUAUGGUCAAAGUGAUAGCGGUGUAAGAUGGACUUGCGUCUGAUUAGCUAGUUGGUGAGAUAAAAGCCCACCAAGGCAACGAUCAGUAGCCGGCUUGAGAGAGUGUACGGCCACAUUGGGACUGAGACGCGGCCCAGACUCCUACGGGAGGCAGCAGUGGGGAAUUUUGCACAAUGGGGGAAACCCUGAUGCAGCGACGCCGCGUGAUUUAGAAGGCCUUCGGGUUGUAAAAAUCUUUUGUAUAGGAAGAAAAUGACAGUACUAUACGAAUAAGGUCCGGCUAAUUACGUG